rnacentral:rRNA from 1 species
CGGCGGACGGGUGAGUAAUGUAUGGGGAUCUGCCCGAUAGAGGGGGAUAACUACUGGAAACGGUGGCUAAUACCGCAUAAUGUCUACGGACCAAAGCAGGGGCUCUUCGGACCUUGCACUAUCGGAUGAACCCAUAUGGGAUUAGCUAGUAGGUGGGGUAAAGGCUCACCUAGGCGACGAUCUCUAGCCGACCUGAGAGGGUGACCGGCCACAUUGGGACUGAGACACGGCCCAA